UAGCUGCGGUUCAAUGAUUAAUCGCAUGAAUUUAAUCAUAAAUAAUACAAAUAAUUGAAUAAUCAAUAUUCUUCAUCAGUUCUGCGCGACAGAAUGCAGUACCAAUUUGUAAAGUCACAUACAAGACUGAAACAAUAUUACACAAAACUCUUUUGGAUGCUUAUGGCUGUUCUCCAAUUAAACACGAGGGACAGAAUCAGAAGUAUUCAGAAUAACCGAAACCAAUUUUAUGCCCCUGUUUUCACGUAAAAUCAAACGAAGACAGUUUUUCUGAAGUCAGAAAAAUUUUGAAUUCUGGCACGUUUUAUUUCUGCUCAAAGCCGAUACAAGUCAUCGAUUACCGACAGCAGAUUCUUCCGAUUUUGGUUUGUGAGAUAACAGUGAAAAGGUUAAGGAAACUGCUGAAGGGGAAAAUGGAUUUGGCAGAGAGAAAUUAAAUUUUCACAGAUAGAGAAGAGGAAGUGCAAAGGAUCGAGAUCGAGGCCGUGGAAUUAGAAAAGGAAGGGGACGAGGUUAGUUAAAUCGCAAAAACAACCGUUUUUUUUGCGAGUUCGUCAGGAUUAUUAUUUCCAGUUAUUACCUUAUUUCUCUAUUAGUUUUAAAGAGGAUAAAUAAGAAGGUAGAAACGCUCUUGAACAAAUUUAAGGAAUUCGAGAAGAAAAAACAUAAAUUAGCAGCAGACACCAAAGAUAACAAAGAAAGUGUCUAGCCUGAUACGAAAGCUAUCCAGAAAAUAAUCAUGCGACAACGAAAAAAUGUUAUUCACAAAUAAUGUUGAUUUCAUGGAAUGGUUCGUUGGAAAAAGUUUUUGUAAUUGGAUUUCUUCUCACUGUUGCUUCUUACUUCUUUAAAGAAUAAUGGUUGUAUUUUAUUAAAAGACUACCAAUUUUCAAAAUUUGGUAAGAAGCUGUAUUAAGAUAAAAUCCAAAUACAAAAAAAUAUAGGUAAAAUAACUUUCGUGUAAGUUUUAAAUUGUAUGUUUUGCAUUUUUUUAAAUUUGAGUUAGAUAUCGUGCUAAAAAUCAGGCUUCCGCGGGAACAAAGUCUUCUAUGGUUUUAGGAAUGGUAAUAAUAGUGCCACUUAUUUCUAAUGAAAAUACCAUUCUUUCCACGAAAAGAGUACUGUCGCUUCUUACCAAUUAAAAAAAAAUUGUUGGACUUUAUUAAAAGUUUUCGUAAAUUGGUAACAACUGAUAGUAAGAUAUAAUUCAGUUACCAAGAACACUGUUAAGGUUCUUUUUUUGCAAGUUUUAAAAUACUAUUUUAAAAAUAUUGUUUUUGAUUUGAAAUAUCAUCAGUAAUAUUAUUUUGAUUCUUAGUAUUAUAGAAAAAAAAUUUCCAUACAUCUGAUUUCUUGCACAAUUACCAUAAUCUGCUUCACUCGAUAAAAAUAUUUGCAUUUUUAAUUGUUAAAAACUAUUAAAAUUAUAAUUUGCAGUGGUACAGUUGGAAACCCUUGUAACUUAAAAUUGUUGUUAUAUUUGCAAAUUUAGCAUUGUCAGUCCAUGUGUCCGGUCUAAAUACCCACAUUACCAACUUUAAAAAAAAAUCAAGUUCAUGUUAACACGAAAUGAGAUAUCAAGUCGAAUGUUGGGAUAAUUAAAUAAAAGGUACUAUGGACGGCUUGUUUGGUCAUAAUUAUUUUGAUUUCUGAAAUAAAAAUAAAUGAAAAGUAAUUUUUGUUUUGUAAAUACAAACACGUUGGACCAGAUAAAAAUAUUGAGUACCUUCUAUGUUUCCUUCUUAAAACUUGAAACUCGAUAUCUUAUUGUUUGUAGAUAAUAGUUGUUAAAAACUCAGCGCCGGUGAUAUAGAUAUUUGCUUACGAGUUGCAUACUUCACCUGCAAAAACUAGUUACUAAACUUAAAUAUAAUUUUCAACUGCAUAUAAUUUUUUAAUAUAAUUCGCUCAGUUUUUAAACUCAAGACUUAAAAACAUUAAAAUUUUUUAAAUU